rnacentral:pre_miRNA from 1 species
GGCUUGUUUUACCUUGCCUGUGGCUCGCAGCGAUGACACACAGGCAGCUGAAGCAAGCCUG